AGUGGCCGAGAACAGAGAAGCGCGUAGAGGAAGACGGAGAAGCAUGCUGGCUGGUGGGUUGACAGGUUGCCCCAGAGCACGGUGCUGCUUCUUCCUUCAAGUUUACCCCCACCUGUGACCUGUGACGCUUUCUUCACUCCUCGCCUUGUUUCCUGCUUACCUGCUGCCAGCGUGUGUAGAUGGUGAGGUUCUCGGGGAUGACGCGCACCACCAGCAGCGAGACCAAGAACUGGUUGGCCAGCAAUGAAGAGAAGUUUAGUGAAGGGCAGCUGUGUGACGAGUGACUUCUGCUGGCGUUGCCCCGUGACCUACUGCUUAGAGCUGCUGGAGGGGCCAAAAACUCAGCAAUACUCUCUCAUCACUUUAGUAUGCUAUGCUGUCAGACCUGUGGGAAUCUCACCAAAUGUGUUGCAGACGUGAUGUUCCCAUUCUGCUUCAGUAAAGCAGGGACCACUUUGAACUGCAGGCAUUGCUUCUGCAGUUACUUCUUGGGUUAAACGGUGUGGCUGCCUGUCGCCCUUUCACACAGAUGCUGGCUGCAGAUAAAUAAUCUGUUGCUGAGUCAGCAAGUCUACAGGAAGAGUGUAUAAUGUUGUACAAAGCCGCAUCUUUUAACCCUCAAAACAGGAAGAGUUCAUUAAAGCCACCAAAUUUAAUUAAUUUAUACAGCAAGGAGCCAGCUAGCUCAUUUAAUGCAGAUGGGAUGGGAUGAUACUCAGGUCCCAUGAUGAUAAGGGAUGCCAGACCCACCCUGUAAAGUGAGUUUCCAUCAUUAAUUUACUGCAAAAUUUUUAACCAUUCAUUUUAAUCUUCUACUCAUCAGCUAGUUGGGGUGAGUCUUUCUUACGUUAGUGAUCAGAGCAAGAUACCUGGCUGGUAAUAAAGGACGAGUCGAAGCUCCGAAACACUGAGACUGUGAUAAACGUCAGAAUGUAGAUUCCUGUAUUUCAUUUGAAGAGCGAUAUUAAUCUCUCUCUCUCUCUCUCUCUCUCCUCCGGCCAAGCGUUUUCGUUUCGAAGCAAUGAAACAUUUAUGUACAGCGGAGAUGUUCAAGGGGAGAUUCCUAGCCUCCACCCAGACCACACUGAGAUUAUUGCGUCUUAUUACAGAAACAAUUCAAGUUGAUAGUGUUGCAAUAAAAUGUUAUUUGUGCAUUUACAAACAUUUUAAUUUACAGGUGGAGUUCGUAUUUUAGGUCCCAGGGAAGGAUCUGCUUGAAAUUACACCAUGUUAUCAGAAAUAACUGCGGGUGGUGGCCCUGAGUGAGGCUAGAGGGAGUAGUUCGGCUGUUAGAGAGGUAGGCGGCUUUGUCAGAUGCAUGUACGGCAAGUGUAAAGGGCCGAGGAGCGACGACUGGGUUUUUGUAUCUCCCAUACCUUCAUGUAGUGUACAGAUAGUCAAUAUUCCAUCAGUGAGGCCAAGAUUACGGGUGGGAGGAGCUGCAAAGGCGUGGACGUGGCAACGCGGGUAGGAGUCGAAGCUUCGAAACAAUGAGUCAGUCAUAUUCAUCAAUAUAUGGACGUUUAUAUUUCACGUGAAGAAUUAAUUAUAUUAAUACAUUCUCUCUCUCUCUCUCUCUCUCUCUCUCUCUCUCUCUCUCUCUCUCUCUCUCUCUCUCUCUCUCUCUCUCUCUCUCCGUCUGAGGGUUCUCUUUUCGAAAUACAGUAAUAAAACACUUGUGUUCAGUUACCUUCCAGAAUGUGAAGGUGUUCAAGGGGGGAUUCGUAGCCUCCACCCAGACCACAUUGAGAUUAUUCCGUCUUAUCAGAGAAACAAGUCAAAUUGAUAGAAUAUUGCAAUGUUAUAUUAUUUGUGCAUUUACGAACAUUUUAAUUUAUUGGUGGAGUUUGUAUUUUAGGUCACAGGAAAGGAUGUACUAAAGAUUACACCAUGAUAUCAUGGUUAGCAGCGGGUGGUGGCCCUGGGUGAGGCUAGAGGAAGUAGUUGGGUAGUUCGAGGCAGAGGCGGAGUUGUUAGAGGCGUAUAAAGAGCCGAGGAGCAUCAUGUAGGUCGCCUAGCGCCGCCCUCCCCCUCCGAAUUCCAAAGCAAUGAAGCAAUAAAUGAAUAAAAUAGAUAAAUGAACGGAUAAAUGCAUAAAAUAAGUAAAUAAGUAAAUUAUCAAGUAAAUAUAUCGAUAAAUAAAUAGAUGAAUUAAUGAAUAUAAAUAAAGAUGAAAUAAUAAUAAAUAAAUUAAUGAAACUAAAAAAAGUACGUAGUUAUCUUGUGUGCCAUCUUUCUGGCAUGCCUAAAAAUAUCACAGAACUGACGAAAUAUAACGAUUCGAACAUCUUUCCUCAUCUCACUUAAUAUUAUCAUUAUCUUCUCUAUUCUACUGCAGAUUUCUCCCAAACCUUCGCCACAUACCUACCUCUGUUGGAUGCCUGUCACUCCCCUCCCCCGCCCAGUCUGCAAAACUUUAUCUGGUCCUCCUAUUUUAGGUUAUCCCAACCUUCUUUUAUCAUCACAAGGUUGCCAUUUCGUUACUGCAAUUUCCUGUUUCCUGUCAUUUACUGCAGCCAGACUUGCUUCACACUCGUUAUGUUCCUCACAGGCUUCCCUACAUUACUCAUUCACAUCCACCUCCCUCUUCAUUUCAUCCUCUGCCAGACUAUUUCCAUUCCUAAAACACAAAUUCUAAUCCAGAUAUUCCUCAAAGGCUGGCCAAGGUUGAUGUUUCCUCUUGCUCCUGCCCACACUCUCCAGGCACCACUCUGCCAUACAUUUUGAAAGGACACACACCUUACUUCAAACUAAAGAUGGUCAUUAGUAAUUUUUUUUUCCCCACAUAUUCGAGGGAUGGCCGAGGUUGACUUUCCUGUUCCUCUUGCCCGUACACUCCAAACGUCUGUCUACCAUACACUUUCAGGGGAAACAUAACUUACUUGAAAUUGUAGAUGGCCACAAGUACAUUUUUCCACACAUCUCAGCCCAUGAAAUCCUUGAACGCAGCUUAUCUUAGGAAUACUAAAGUCAAGGUUUACUAAAACACACUUUACUGGUUUGUACUCCUUACAGUAAACAUUUAAUAAGUGCCGGCUAUAGUAAUAUACAUGUAUUUACAGCUUGGAGCUACCCAGGAGCAAGUGCACUGUAGUGGCACUUGGCACUCAUUGAACAACAAUUUCAUACAUCAGUCUUGGUGGGUAGGUGACUUCUGCUACAGUCCCUGCCAUCUGGUGGUCUACAGCUACCUCAAAGAAUGGUUCACAACUCUCCUCAACUAAACUGACAACAACAGAGUAAAACCAGCACAAAGGUCAUGCCCAGAGAGGCCCUGGAGCCCCUGUCAGGCACCAAACAAACUGUAGACGUAGGAAUCUGUCGAGCUUACUUUAGUGAAAAUAAAUUAGAAGCCUUAA